rnacentral:rRNA from 1 species
AUGAACGCUGGCGGCGUGCUUAACACAUGCAAGUCGAACGGAAAGGCCAGUGCUUGCACUGGUACUCGAGUGGCGAACGGGUGAGUAACACGUGGGUGAUCUGCCCUGUACUUCGGGAUAAGCUUGGGAAACUGGGUCUAAUACCGGAUAGGACAACUUUUUGGAUAUUGUUGUGGAAAGCUUUUGCGGUAUGGGAUGAGCUCGCGGCCUAUCAGCUUGUUGGUGGGGUAAUGGCCUACCAAGGCGUCGACGGGUAGCCGGCCUGGGAGGGUGUACGGCCACAUUGGGACUGAGAUACGGCCCAGACUCCUACGGGAGGCAGCAGUGGGGAAUAUUGCACAAUGGGCGCAAGCCUGAUGCAGCGACGCCGCGUGGGGGAUGAAGGCCUUCGGGUUGUAAACUCCUUUCGCUAGGGACGAAGCUUUUUUGUGACGGUACCUGGAGAAGAAGCACCGGCUAACUACGUG